rnacentral:rRNA from 1 species
GCGGAAGGAUCAUUGUCGAAGCCUAUAAAAUAGAGCGACCCGUGAACAUGUAAAAACAACUAAGCGUCGUAGGGAUCGGGCUUCUGUCUGUGACCUAUGGCUUUUCGUUAAUUUGUCUCUACGGUUGCCUCUGAGGAGCAUCCAUGAUGUCAAGUUGACGAAACAACAAACCCCGGCACGGUAUGUGCCAAGGAUGAGUUAACUGUAGGAAUGCCUUAUGCCAUGUAAGCCUUGUUUACGGUGCUUGCGUGGGAUUUGGAUUCUUUAUAACUAGAACGACUCUCGGCAACGGAUAUCUCGGCUCACGCAUCGAUGAAGAACGUAGCAAAAUGCGAUACUUGGUGUGAAUUGCAGAAUCCCGUGAACCAUCGAGUUUUUGAACGCAAGUUGCGCCCGAAGCCAUUUGGUUGAGGGCACAUCUGCCUGGGCGUCACGUAUCGAUUCGCUUCUAACCACGCCUCCUUUAAGGGAUGUGCGAUAGCGGCGGAUAAUGGCCUCCCGUGCUUUCGGUGUGGUUGGCCAAAAUUACGAGGCUCCUUUUGGUGGACACACGACAAGUGGUGGUUGACCGACCUUCGUCUCGUGUUUGUGUCUAUCGAAGUAUUGGAAGACCUUGAAAUUUUACCCUAACGUGUCGUCUUGUUUCGGUGCUUUGACCGCGACCCCAGGUCAGGUGGGAUUACCCGCUGAGUUUAAGCAUAUCAAUAGGCCGGAGGAA